rnacentral:lncRNA from 1 species
AUGUUUAUCUUGUCAGCUCAGGAUUCGAUCCAGCAACAUUUCGGUUACUGGCCCAACGCUCUAACCACUAGGCUACCUGCUGCCCCAGGUUGGUCACCAGGUUGGUUUUGGGUUUUCAUCCCACAUUUUAUCUGUAGGUUUAGAUGUACCUUCCAGGUUGAGGAUGCUGAUGCACGUAACGUCACGACCACUCAAACACUCAUCACUGACCUUCUGUCUGGGAACCAUGUUGAUGAAGAGAUCCAGGUUGACCGCAGAGAUGUCCACGUUUCACAUAUAGAUCCUGGGAGCUGUCCUAAGGACACCCAUGAGAGUUUCUGGGGUGUGUAUAAAUGGCCAAUCACAGAGGUCCAGGUGACAAUAACUAUGAUCUGUGAGAAGAACCUUGGAUCAAGGGCUUCCAGGAAAUGUGAGUUAGAUGGAGUGACUGAGAAAGCCCAAUGGGCUAAGCCAAACCUGAAGGCAUGCAAGCCGGUAAUCACCAUCUCUGAUCUGGAUAAAGUCACCGUCACAGCAAACAACUCAGCAGAUGUGAUGGACAUGAUUAAGAACCUCCUGGGUGACGAGGGGGACCUGAGUGACUCCCAGCUGGCCACCGUGGUCCAGAAGCUGGAUGAGGUUCUGUGGGUCAGCACGGUGACCCCUCAGCUCGGCAGAGAUAUUGUCAACAUCGUCGCUGACAUCCUGGUGUCCAAUUCUGACCUGUCAGCGGUCGCCAACGAGUAA